ACGAAGAACCGUUACCAGGGUUUGACAUACAAGUAGUAGGGAAGGAAACUGGACGACCCUUCGGGAGCUUGUACAGGCGCUGCAUGGCUGUCGUCAGCUCGUGUCGUGAGAUGUUCGGUUAAGUCCGCUAACGAGCGCAACCCUCGCUGUGUGUUACAAGUGUCACACGGAACUGCCGGUCAUAAACCGGAGGAAGGUGGGAUGACGUCAAGUCAGCAUGGCCUUUAUAUCCUGGGCUACACACACGCUACAAUGGGAAGGGACAAUAGGUUGCGAAGCCGCGAGGCGGAGCCAAUCCAGCAAAACUUCCCUCAGUUCAGAUUGCAGGCUGCAACUCGCCUGCAUGAAGUUGGAGUUGCUAGUAAACGCAGGUCAGCCAUACUGCGUUGAAUACGUUCCCGGGGCUU
rnacentral:rRNA from 1 species